UACGUAGGUGGCAAGCGUUGUCCGGAGUUAUUGGGCGUAAAGCGCGCGCAGGCGGUGCGGUAAGUCUCUGGUGAAAGCGCUCGGCUUAACUGGGCGAGGGCCGGGGAGACUGCCACGCUGGAGGGGAGCAGAGGCGAGUGGAAUUCCGGGUGUAGUGGUGAAAUGCGUAGAGAUCCGGAGGAACACCGGUGGCGAAGGCGGGUCUCUGGGCAGUAACUGACGCUGAGGUGCGAAAGCGUGGGGAGCAAACAGG
rnacentral:rRNA from 1 species